UGAUCCCCGCUCAUUUUCCCUUGGCUGAGGCUUCCCUCUCAAAAGGUGACCACCCUCUUGGAUAACUCUUGUACUCUUUCUCGACUUUCAGCUCCCACUAAACAUCUAAGCAUUAACUCCUCUUGCAUGUCUGAAACAUUCCCAUCCAAUGUCUCUCCUUAAUUUUCCUUUCCCUCGUAUUAUAGUGUGAAGCAUCUCGAAGAAGAAGCAAAGAGUUGAGUCAUCUCUAUUUUUAAAGAAGCUAAGGUGGUGGAAUUGCUGACCACAAGGAAGUACCGAAGAAGAAUUAAUUGCUAACUAAAAGUUCAGCAUCCAAGGUUUCAAGUAAAUUAAGACAUGAUGUCAAUGGACCGACAUAUUGGGUGUUGUGUGCUAAAUGAAAUAAAUAUGCAUAUAUAUUGUUGAAUUAUGAAAGAACUCUAGCUAUCAGGAUGAUGAUUUUGGAGACUAUUGUAAUGCAACAGUAGACGAAUAUGUGAUAUAGUGCUACAUUAAUAGUUGUAACCUUCAUGUUGUUAUCCAUGUAUGUAAGGAUUAUGUUCAUGGUAUGAUCAGGUCUUGAAUUUAUGUAAAGACUAAUGCACUAGAGUUAU